rnacentral:tRNA from 1 species
AAGAACUUAGGUUAAACAAAACCAAGGGCCUUCAAAGCCCUAAACAAGGAUUGAACCCCUUAGCUCUUG